rnacentral:lncRNA from 1 species
UGCAAAAGACGGUUGUCCACCGUCGCCGAUGCUGCAAACGCCGGCCUCUGCUCCUACAAUUGCUACUGCUACAAGCCGGGCGCUGAGAAGGAAGCUGCUGAACUAGUCGCGGAGGAGAAAGGUUUGCUGUACCACGCCCAAAAUAAGGUGAGUUGCAAUCUCUCUCUCUCUCUCCCAUCAAUCUCUCUUCUCUAUACGCGGAUGGAGCGGAUUCACAAGAUAUGUUGGCCAGCAGACAAGAUAUGAACCCAUUUUUCAGUUUUCUUGCACAUCCAGAUCCAUCUCCAUCUCUGUAUCUUACAGAACAUAGAAACCGGUAGCAAGAACACACUCGGGCAUGAGCAUGAUGCUAUAUUUUGAUUGCAAUUUGCUUCAAAACAACAACUCCAUUGAAGAAAAACAAUCUGGGAACACUUAUUUGCAAUAUGCUCCGACAUCCACAGAAAAUAUAUGUUCCAGACAAAUCUGGGAACAACGGGGUGGGAAUCCAUGCAUGCAGAUGUGGUAUUCCUGCAGAAAAAACAAUCGUUGCAUACUCUGACUCAGGACACACUGAAACGGCACAGUACACGUAGUUGAACCAACCCAUGAGCAAGCACUCAGCCCAGUCACCAAAUCCACAUCUUGAUGGAUUGACAACAGCAAAUUUAUCAAAAUCUACGAAGCCAACAUCAUAAGACAGAUCCAUCCAGAGCAAGCGUUAAUAUUGUUGGUCUUUGAAGACGACAUGUGACUGCGUACACUAGUGUUUACUAGCUGAAGGCAUUACAUUGGUUCAACACCCGCUACACACUCACACCAGCUGCAGGAAUUCUAUGUUAUGGGAUAGAGCUAGCGUAUCAGAACCUGCACUAACAAUUGUGGUGCGGUCACACGACACAGCUAAUGCAAGCACUCUGCCAUCAUGCCCGUCGGCGAAGAUGGCAUGACGAGCUCCUGAUACAGAGUCCCAUAUUCUGAUGCGGCCAUCCUCGCACCCUGUAGCCACGAACCUUGUCGCUCCCAACCAGGCUAGACAGGUCACAAUGCCCUAACACACACGACAACCAUAAUGGCAGGCAGUUAGAGAAGCACAAAACGCGGUAAGUAAUCGUUAGCCACGAGGCAUCAACCUCAUGAGGGAGAUGAUGCCGAGCCUCUUGAGUUUCGGCAUCCCAUAUAAUGACCAUGGAAUCUCUGCUUCCUGUUGCGACGACGCCAUCUGCAGAGAUGCCGAUGCAACAAACAGUACUUCCAUGGCCCAUCAAUGCACCAACGACCUGCAAGACUCACAGAUUCAAUGUUCAUGCCUCAAGAUCAACAAACACCAAGAUUUGAACAUUUAUUUGCAUACCUGUCCGAGUUCAAUGCUGACAACACACACGGAACCAUCUUUUGAGCAGCUGUAUAUGGAUUUAGAAUCAUUUGUGAUUGCCAAGCACGUCAAACCUGUGCUGUGAAAGUUCUCACCUGAAAAUUGAAACAGCAAAUCAAUUACAAACUAUAUCAGGACAGCAAGAUCAAUUACUAAAGCUUCAUAAACCUACGAAGCACCGAUACAGCGAAACAGAUACAACAAGGGUACGGCGAUACGGGAUAGGGCAAGGCAAAACAGCAAUAUGGCUGAGUAUAUAUUAAAAAUAAUAAAAUGCACGAGAUGAGAUCAAAACACUGCCCCAUAAACUAUACCAUACCAGCAAAUACCAAAUACAUGAUAGUUAUAACUGCUCACCUUCGAUGAUACACUUUGUCUGGGCACUCUUCGGGCACCACACCCUCAGAGAGGCAUCAUCUGACCCAGAACAUAUAAGUUUACCUUAAAAGAAUAUAUAAAGAGGUUAGCUAACAAUUCAUAUGCAGAGGUUUGAGAUCUGCGCCAAAAGGUGAUAAGGAAAUGCAAAUAACCUAGAAAGUUAAAUGAAAUAAGAUGUACCAUCAGGUGUAAAGUCGCCACAAGUCACAGUCCGCCUGUGGCCAGCAAAUACAUUCAUCAAGUAGUUCUCAGGGUCUCCGCCCAAAUACCACAGCCACAACAUGUGAUCAUCCGACCCUGCCAAUAACGCCGGGCCGCGUGGAUGCCACUUAAGCCACUACGAAAACACAACACAAUUUAAAGAGGAGAAAGACAAAUGCACAGAAGGAACAGGUGCAGUAUCAUGGAUGCCAUUUAAGCCAACUAUGAAACACAAUGAAAACUGGUGAAAAGAUAAAUGCACAAAGAAUAAGUACAGUAUCAUCUUACCUCAAAACUAGAGCCAGAGCGAGGACGGAGAUGUGUGAAAAGAGCUCCUGUAGAGGUGGUCCAAACACUAACUGUGCCGUCCAUACUUGCACAUGCCAGUAGCGUUCCGUUACAACUGAAUGCAACACUGGUAAUUGUAUCUUCGUGCCCUGUAUCAGGUGGGGCUAUUAUUUAGUUACCACUGAGCUUCAACAAACUAAAGUAACUAUAUGCACAGAAUCAUGCUAUCAUAAGUUUCAAAUUGAUUGCCCACACAUGCUCCUACAAAAUAUUGCAAAUAUGAAAUGGACAAGAUGACCAUACCACUAAAUUCAUGCACAUCCUGGGGAUUAAGAGACCAAGCUCUCCACAGAUAACCUCUGUCAUCUGCCCCACCGGAAAGAACAAGCAAGCUCUGCUCAGGAUGGCAUGCCACGCUCAUUACUUCAUCUGCACAAGAUAAGUAUAAAGAACUCAGGCACCAACAACAAAAAUGCAAGCUACAACAAUUGCACUUAUAAAUUAGUUACACGACAGAUCUUACCAGUGUGUCCAGAAAAUUCGUAUGUGCCAGCAUCCACUUCAUCUGAAACACAGAGACAAAAGAACACAGUAUGAAGCAAUAACCAAGAGAUAUCAAAACUAAAAAUACUAAACCGUCAUGUACUGUCGAGUUGAUCAAAACUUCUUAGUUUCACUUGAUUUUUAGGACCAUGUAUCUAUCUAAGUUAUUUGUUAUCUGUAUUACUCAACCACCCAGGAUACACAUGAGCUGUACCUUCCUCGUCCAAGGCAUCAUCAUCAUCCUCGCCCAGUUCAUCUGAAACAACAGAAAACAAUAGAACACUGUGUGAAUCAAUAACCAAGAGAUCUUAAAACUAAAAAUACUAAAACAUUAUGUACUGUCCAGAACAUAGAAAAUAUAUACUCCCUCCGUUCCUAAAUAUAAGUCUUUUUAGAGAUUCCACUACGGAUUACAUACGGAGUAAAAUGAGUGACUCUACACUCUAAAGUAUGUCUAUAUGCAUCAGUAUGUAGUUUAUAGUGGAAUCUCUAAAAAGACUUAGAGGGUGCUUGGAUCCAAGGGACUAAAACUAGUCCGACUAAAAAUAGUCUCUUUAAGAGGCUAAAGUUCCAAGCACCCGUGACUAAAGAGAGGCUAAAACUAGUCUUGAGGCUAAAAUCUUUUAGUCAGGGUACCCCUACUAAAAUGUGAAUUAGUCCUCUCUCUCCUCAUUUAACUCCUCUCCUUUAACACAUGCGAGUUCUGGAUUGGAGGGUUUGGAGGAUAAUAAAUGCUCAUUAACUUGAUUUUAGUCUCUUUAGUAUUUGGAUCCAAGCAUGGGUGGGGCUAGCAAGUUUUAGUCCCACUACUUUUAGUCAUGGGACUAAAACGUAUCCAAGCACCCUCUUAUAUUUAGGAAAGGAGGGACUAUAUAACAAACAAUAAACGACCAUUCUUGGGAGCAGAAAACCACUAAAAGACACACAUAGCAGAAAAAUAGAAAAACAAGGACAACGUGCAUGCUUUAUCUAUCCAUAUGUUGUUAUUACUACCAAAACUAACUUAUAAGCAAUUAGUAUUCUGUCUGUAUAUUGCCAUAUGGUUGAUAAACAUUAGGUUUCUAAGGAAUCUGUUUGGUACCAUAACACUCACUGCCUGCAAUGGAUUUGGUUGGUCUUUUUAGCAAAGUUUUAAAUAGCCAGCUAUAGCUGUUUGAGCAUGUGCUGCUAUGUGGCAUAGCCCACUAAACUUACGAAAUAGCCCGCUAUAGCGGGCUAUAGCCUAGCUAUAGCUGAUUUGGAGGGCCGCCGCUAUUUGCCAUAGCCCGCUAUUUAAAGCAGUGCUUUUUAGUGUCUGUAACACUUUUUGUUUUUGCUCUACGGAAUGCAUGAUAUUAAGCCUAUCGAAACAAUGAAGUUUGCACUGGAGAUCUUCUAGCUGUUUUGGCUAGGCCCCAAGACAGAAUGCUACUUCCCAUGAUAUCUUGGUUGCUGGUCAUUUGAUGUACCAAUACUUUUGUCAUAGGUAGCCUGAGUUUUGAUGCAACCAGGGAGAAGAGGGCGAGGCUUUUUCAUACUCAGUGGUUCAAGCGAGCUAAAUAUUGCGAGGGGAAAUAUUCUCAUUGAUAUUUCUUUGUUGCUCGUGUAUGGCUGGCUGACAUUUAAAUGUAAAUAGAAAGAUUUCCUGGACCUUCCACGUUGACAGCAUUAUCCUCGUUGACGUUGAUGACGGCCUCUUGGGCACCAGGUUCGUCUGAGACAACAGAAAACAAGAGAACGCAGCAUGAAUUGAUAGCCCAUAUAUCUCAUAACUAAAAAUACUAAGAAGUUAUGUACUCUCCAGAUAUAGAGGAUGUAAGAAACAAUAAACCAUCCUCCUUGGGAGCAGGGAACCACUAAAAGACACAAAAGCAAGGAGAACAUCCAUGCCUGUAUUUAUCCAUGUUAUUAUUAGUACCCAAAACUAAGCUAUGUUUGGCAAUUAAUCUUCUGUUUGGUAUUGCCAUAUGGUUUGAUUCUCAUCAGGUUCCCAAGUAAUUGGUUUGGUUCACCCUGCCUGGAAUGGGUUUGGUUGGUCUCUUUAGUCUUGUGUCAAACAAAUUUGUUGCUCUAUGGAACGCAUGAUAUUUAGCCUAUCGAAACAAUUAACUUUGCACGAGUGUUCAUCAAGAUCUUCUAACUGUUUUGGCUAGGCCCCAACAGAAUGCAGCUUCCCACGAUCUCUUGGUUGCUGGUCAUCUGCUGUAGCAUUACUUCUAUCAUAGCUAGCCUGAGUUUUAAUGCAACUAGGAAGAAGAGGGCGAGCCUUUUUCAUACUCAGUGGUUUGAUCAUGCUACAGUGUGAGUGGAAUAUCCUCACUGAUAUUGCUUGUAGUUUAUGGCUAGAUGUCACGUAAAUGUAAAAAGAGACAGAUUUCCUGGAAACUGCUCAUGUCGACCGCUCAGAAACCAGUUGGAAAACUGAGUGUACACGAGAUGUACCUUCCUCGCUGACAGCAUUAUUACCCUCAUUGACGUUGACGGCAGCCUCUUGGGCACCAGGUUCGUCUGAGACAACAGAAAACAAAAGAACGCAGAAUGAAUCGAUAGCCCAUAUAUCUCAAAACCAAAAAUACUAAGAACUUAUGUACUCUCCAGAAUUAUAGAAUGUAGCAAACAAUAAACCAUCCUCCUUGGGAGCAGUGAACCACUAAAAGAUACACAUGGUAGACAAGGGAAAAGGACUGACCUUGAUUUGGCUUGACGGCCUUCUUGCACGGCACACUUGAGGAUGCAGCCUUCUCAUAUUUUGUCUCAGGUUUUAACAGGCAAUGCUUGAGCGGAUUCCUCUUGAUUAUGUCAACGGACCUCCGAAUUUCAGUUGAAGCAUUGGGACAAUACACCUCAUCAGACCGUGUUCCCCAGCUUCUCAUCAAGACCCGAUGUUCAGGUGGUGGCACGACCCCCUUGACCGACCCAGGAGCAAUCUGUAAUCUAGCCCAUCUUCUAACAUCUGGAAAACGAAUGCACUCGGGGAUGAAAAUGGCAAAGAAAGCCAUGCCAGGCUGGAGAUCCGUAUCUAGCCCCUCAACUACUAGAGACUCGGCAUUGCACAACUUGUCGUGUGCUUUUUCAGCAGCUCCAUGAAAGAACGGCUGCUUCAUGCCUCCUCGCAGAUCCAGGUAGCUGCCCGACCAAUUCAAGUGAUAUAUGCCUUCAUGGAAUUUGAACUCCCUGCUCUUCUUGGUGGCCGAGGGUACACACUUCAAGCAGUAGGGUAACUGGCUGGAGGGUGGGAUCGGAACAUUGCAGCCCUCCAUGGGGAACCACAACUCUGCACAAUAAUAAGACCCCACAAGUCACAAGUCAGGAAAAUACUAUUGGUGGAGGGGAGGGGAUGGCGGAUGGACCAUCACCAGCAACUCCAAUAUUUAUACGAGUAUAGAGAAAAUAAUAUGCACCUUCCUGCUAGAUGGAUCAGAAGAUGUUAACAAAUUGUAGCUAAGGUCAAGUUUGGUUUUUGUCUUAUCAACUACCAAAUCUUUGCACUACACACAUGUACAAGGACAUAGCAAAUUGUAUGCUUAAACAAAGCAGCAUUUUCAGGCUAAUGUCAAAACCUAGUGUCCUUUGUCAAAAGAAUAGAUCAAUGAAUGACAAAAUUUCACUAACAAACCCAUAUCGAGUUAGUGAUGCACUACAUGGAUCAGAAUAUGUUAAUAAAUUGCAGUCAAGGUCAUCUGUGUUUUUUGCCUUUCGAACUACCAAUUUUUUCUAUUACACACAUCAUGUACAAGAAACAUAACAAAUUGUAUGCUAAAACGAGCAGCAAUUUCAGGCUCAUGUCAAACUCCACUGUCCUUUGUCAAAAGAAUAAAUCAAUAACUAACAGAUCGAAUUCAUGUUAGUGAUGCACUAACGGAUCAGAACAUGUUAACAAACUGCAAUCAAGGUCAACUUUAGUAUUUCCCUUAGCAACUACCAAAAAUUUCCACUACACAUGUGCAAGAAACAUAGCAAAUUGUAUGCUAAAACGGGUAGCAUUUUCAGGCUCAUGUCGAAAUCUACUGCCCUUUGUCAAAAGAAGAAAUCAAUGAAUGGCAGAAAUUCACUAAUAGAUCCAUUUCGAGUUAGUGAUGCACUGAAAGCUGUAGGAUGCAAUUCUAUAAUAUGGUGGAACGUCCACGAUUAAAUAGAAUCACAUGCCAAGCACAUCCAAUAAAUUUCCCUAACAGAUCCAUUUCGAGUUAGUGAUGCACUGAAAGCUGUAGGAUGCAAUUGUUCUAUAAUCUGAUGGAAUGUCCACAAUUAAAGAGAAUCCACAGCCAGGCACAUACAAUAAAUCAGUAGAUACCUAAUUAUUUACUGCUUAUAACUUGUUCUUAAAGUAAUCGCUGGGCUGUUAUGACUGCAAUCGAUAGAAAGUAACAUAAGUCUCUCUUGCAAGGAGGUUUGCACACAGCACACGGUAGAGGAGAGGAUAUGGCAUGACCUGAUACAUGGAGUGCCUUCAGGUAGAGGUCAGUCUUGCCAAAGAGCAGGGUGACCGUUCUCUUCCCAGGGUGCACAAGCUCCACCAGGAAUGCGCCAUCUUUUGGAGUGUAUGGCUUCCCGUGAACCCUUUCCGGCUUCUUGUCCUUCUUACGGAGCUUCCGCAACUCAUCCCGGACGUCCUCCUCCAGCAUUGCCUUUAUGUCGUUGAUCAGGCGAUCGUGGCUCGCCACUAUCUCAUCGGGCUGAAGAUCCAAAGUGAAGAGCCUUAAGGGCUUGUGAGACUCCAUGAUGUGUGCCCUUGCUGCGCCUCCGCCCUUGGCCGUGUGUCUCCUUUUGCCAUUAGAGUGGCAUUUCCGUGCUGUCUUCCUUUUGGCUUUAGAGCGGCGGGGCAUCUGCACACAAAAUGAAGCGUCUAUAAUACAAGCAGCAUUAAACAUCAUAAGAUAUAAUGUAACUUGACGCAGAUAUGCAUCCUACAGCUCAUCUGUCCAACAUUGGACAUGGAUAUGGGAUAAGAAAAUUAUAGCAUGAGCAUCUAAUAGGAAAUGAAGUGUGUCUAUAGUACAAGUAGCAUCUAACAGUAUAGCGUGUUUCAGAUAUUCAUCUUACAGCACAAGCUCAUCUGUCCAUGAAACAACCUGAUAAAUUUUCUUGGAUGCAUAAGUCUACCUGGACUUUAAAAAAAAUCCACGUUUCGUUUUCUGCCACAAUCAAACAUUAGCAGGACUAAAUCGAGGAGGAAUUUAUCUUCUUUUUAAGGCGCAACAGGACAUGAACACAUAUUUUCAUUACAAUGGGGUACAGAGCGCAAACAGGGCAGGGAGGUGGCAUACAUUACCAUCAUUCGCAAGAGAACAAACAGUUAGGAGUGAGGAAUUGAUGUUUAUUUAUACAAAACUGAUCGACAUGAAACUAGUCCCAGUUAUGCAUCUUACUGCUCUGUCCAGCAUUGAAAAUGAAACAACGGAAUACCUUGUGAUGCUGCUGUUGGCUGGUUGUUGUGUUUGCUUGGGUCUUCUUCCUUUCUUCGCAGCAGCCUGAUGAAUUCCCGAGAAAAAAAACCAUCCUAUCAGAAUAUAACAAGUAAACUCCAUAGAGGGAUGGAUGAGUAUAUGCCUGAUCUUGACGGGUUGCUCCCGCCGGCUUCAGUUCUCGUCCACCCUGCUCAGACGCGCCGGCCUCGUCCCGCUCGCCUCUCGCCGCUAGCCCCUCGCUCCUGCCCGCCGGCCACCCUGCUCACACCAAAUCGCUUCCUAUAAUAACAGGAGGAGGACGACGAAAUCGUAGAGAAUGCGGACGAUUACUGAGAGGCCGCUGUUGUUUAUACCUGUUAGAUCACGCGCCGGCCUCGUCCCGCUCGUGCCUCCCCUCCUCCUCCGCCCGGACCGCUCUCGCCUGCGAAUGGAACAACAAGAAGUUACCAACGAUGAAGGCCCCAUGAAGAAAACCAUCAGAUCAGGCUUCUACCUCGCCGCGCGUGCAGACCCGCUCCUGCUGCCGCCGAUGAGAGAAGGGAAGGAGGAAGACCUAGGGUUUCCUGGAUUGAUGACGGGGGAGGAGAGCUAGGGGAGAGAGGGGGGAUUGGUGACGGGCGAAAUUGAACUGAUCGUCUCGGGGUUGUGUGAAUGCGAGCGACUGGAACAGAGUCCGCGAACCGGCCCCAGGAUGGAUGGUCAUGGACUCACCAGGCGUGGCUGGUGCGUCUCGCCAAGCGCUGCGCCACUUCGCCCGGUGCACUUUUUUUCCCUGACUCGAUUUUUUUUAACAACUUCACGAAGCUUUAUUACGUCACAAUGUUUACCGGGACGGAAGUAAGGGUGUGUUUGGUUUCAGGAUGAGGUGGAAUCGGACGAGUUGGUUCCAUCCCUAGCAGCCGUUCUCGUGUUUAGUUGGGUUAGGAAUCGAAAUUGGGUCAUCCGCAUGCAGGAAAUAUUCCCUCCAGAUGCUUCACCAAGUGAUUCCGCCGAUUUAGAGGAACCAACUCGUUAUUCGUCCAUUAAAGCAAGGAAAAAAAGAAAUAACCAAGCAAUUCUCACGGCGCUCACCCCCGCACCCGAACAAAAGUUUUCGUGGUUAUUUUUUGGUGGUUAUUUUUUUCAUUUUCGUGAUUAUUUUUUCAUUUUCGUGAUUAUUUUUCAUAAAUAUUUGGUAUGUACUCAUGAUCAUAUAUUUUUAUUUGCAUGUGUUGAAAAUAGAAUGAAAAUGUUGCUGCAAAUUUAAAUUAUAGGCUUAUCAAAUGCAAAGAACUCUAUUUGUUCAGAGAUAUAAUCUCACCAUUUACAGAUUCUUCUCAUUUCAUCUCUCCAACUAAACACCGGGACGGAACCAACCCAUGACAUUUUUUAUCAUCAACUGAACACAAGGAUGGAACCAACCCAUGACUUUGGAAUGGGACCAUGACAUUCCAUGACUUUUGGUUCUCAAACCAAACACACCCUAAGGUUUUCAGGGUGUCCUAACCAAACAUAACGGCCAUCUCCGAGAGAUAAAGCAUGCUUCCCUACAUUGUGAGCCUCAAAGUUUGAGCUCUUAAAUUCAUGACUAAAACUAAAAAUUCGAAAGAAGUAGAAUGAUCAACAAUCUCAUGGAUCACAGCUCCGUAAGCGGUAGAAUUGUUCUUCGAUAACUCUUGAACUACUACCUUGCAAUCUGACGCCACUUGAAUGCGUUGGAGGUAAAGGUCUACCACUAGGGCAAGCGCUUCUCUGAUAGGUGGAUCGAUAAUAUCUCGAAAGGCAAGAGUAGAGGGCCCCAUGAACAUACCGUUUUGAUCUCGUCAGAUAACUCCUACAGCCCUAAAACCAUGUCGAGAGACUGCGGCGUCCACAUUUAGUUUCGCGUUGUUAUUGAGAGGGGCAAUCCAAGCCGAAGGUCGCACCGUGAUCGGCACAGCCGUCGCUGGAACCUUGGUAUUCGAGAAAUGAAGCUCACACAGAUACCUCGAUAUGAAUGAAUUCACCGAGUAUGGAGGUUGGAACAAGUUCUCAUGGAUUGCCUUUCGCCUGGAACCCCAAAUAGCCCAGAGAGUCACUACCAGUCGGUCGAAUAGAUCUCGGGGAAGUACAUCAUGGACCGCAAACAGCCAUUCCUUCGGGUUCUCCUCCCCUCUCUCGACCAUAUGUUGCACAAGAUCCUCAAGAGCCAGAGCCCAUACACUCGCCGCCAUAGGACAUAUGAUGAGUGCAUGUUUCCGAGUGUCCACCGCCCCACAAAUGGGCCAAGAAUCCUCCGUCGCCAUGUGUCGAUGCUUCAGAACAGAACAUGUUGGCAUAGAGAGCCCGGCGAGACGCCACAAGGAAACUUUGAGUUUAGAAGGUACCUGUAGGUGCCAGAUCAUAGUCCAUUUGGUCGUUUCAAUGCGAUCAUAUGAAGUGCCUCCUUCCUCAUGCAACCAAGCCUCCCGGCUAUGUUUAGUCUUUAUAAUCAUAUGGUAAGCCGAACGAACACUGAAACGACCAUGGGGUUCAUGCCAAGCCCAGAAGUCUGCCACCCUCCUUUUGCAAAUCGGAAUUUGAAGAAUAGCCUCUGCAUCGAAAGGGGUAAAGACAGUUCGCACUAUAUCCUCCUUCCAGCUUGCGUUGGGGACGUCAAUAAGUUGUGCAACCGACCGAGGGGGAUUCGGAACAAGCAUUGCGAUGGGUCGCUUGAGGUUGUCCUUAGGGAUCCAAUUGUGAUCCCAAAUGUGAGUAGUCUGACCAUCACCAAUUCGCCUAAUGACCCCUUGAGACAAGAUAUCCCGGCCGUCUAGGAUCGCUCGCCAUAUCUGGGACAAGUGAGCUCCUAAUUCAGCCUCAAGCAAAGAGCAUCCAGGGAAAUAGACAACCUUCAGAAUCCGUGCAGUCAAGGAUGCAUAGUCCAUCAGUGUGCGCCAGGCCUGCCGUGCUAAUAGUGCAAGGUUGAAAAUCUUCAAGUCACGAAACCCCAUUCCACCUAAGUGUUUAGGCAAGGUCAUGGUAUCCUAGGCUACCCAAGUGGGCUUCCUUUUCCCUUGCUUUGAACCCCACCAGAACUGAUGGAUCAGAGAUGUGAUACUCUCACAUAAGCCCCUCGGCAGUCAGAAACAUGCCAUUGAGAAAACUGGAAUUGCUUGGGCGAUGGACUUUAUCAACACUUCCCUGCCCGUUGCCGAGAGCAACUUAGCCACCCAACCCUUGAUCUUUUCCCACACGCGAUCACGCAAGUAUUUGAAAGUUCCAUUCUUUGAGUGGCCAACAUCGGUGAGCAUGCCAAGGUAGCGUUCGUUUAGAGACUCAUUAUGUACUUGCAGGUUAUUCUUGACUGUUUCUCUCAUUAACGGCGAGCAUCCAUUGCUGAAGAAGAUCGAUGACUUCUCAUUGUUAAUCCUCUGUCCCAAAGCAUUACAGUAUGUAUAUAGUAGGUUUGCCACCAAGGAUGAACCCUCCCCACUAGCAUUGAAGAGCAUCAGGCUAUCAUCUGCAAACAAGAGAUGGUUAAUGGUUGGAGCCGUAGGAGCCACCUCAAUAUCUGUUAGAGACGACUGGGAACUUGAUUUGAGGAGGCACAAAAGGCCCUCUGUUGCGAUCAAGAAUAAAUAAGGGGAGAUUGGGUCUCCCUGCCAGAUACCUCGAGUUGGUUUGGAAGUUUAUAAUUUCUCUCCAUUGAAACAAAUUGAGAAUGAGACUGAAGAAACCAUGCCCAUGACUAUAUCAAUCCAUCGUUGAUCAAACCCUAGCCUGGUCAUCAUCCCUCUUAGAUAAGCCCAGUCUAACCUAUCAUAAGCCUUCAUCAUGUCGAGCUUUAGCGCACAAAAGCUGUUGGAUUUUGAUCUCAAACGCUUCAUAAAAUGCAGGCAUUCAUAUGCACAAAUUAUAUUGUCUGUGAUGAGCCUCCCGGGAACAAAAGCGAACUGCUCCUUAGAGAUGAUUCCUGGAAGCACAACUUUCAGCAUGUUCGACAUUUGAGGCAAUUUUGUACAAGACAUUACAUAAACUGAUCGGCCGAAACUGGGCAAGAGUCGUGGGAUUUGUUACCUUUCGGAUUAAAACCAGGAUUGUAUCAUUGAUGGAUUCUGGAGUUUCCACCCCUGUCACAAUCCCGAGGAUUAUAUUUGUUACUUCAUCCCAACAUACCUCCCAAUGGCGUUGAUAGAAGUGGGCUGGGAAGCCAUCAGGCCCCGGGGCUUUUGUGGGGAACAUCUGAAACAGGGCCUCUUUAACCUCAUCUUUUGAAUAUGGCGCGCAUAGAUUCGCAUUCAUCUUUGGAGUAACCUUAUGAUGGACAUGAUCAAAAACUGCAUCCAUGUUCUGGACUCCUUCAGAGAGGUACAGUGACUGAUAGAAUUCAUUGGCAAGGCUCUUCAGAUCCUCCGGAUCAGAGAUUUCCACCCCCUAAGGAAUCCUGUAGCGCCUUGAUCAUGUUCUUCUUGCGCCGGAGGCUUGCUCUCAUAUGAAAAUACUUCAUGUUUCGGUCCCCACUCGAAAGCCAUUCAGCCCUAGCUCGCUGCCUCCACAUAAUCUCCUCCCUUUGAUACAUCUCAAAAAGCCGCUCGUUAAUUUUUAGCUCGGCAUGGGAAGGUCCUACUUUGGAUGGAUCAUUUUUUUAGUUCCUCUAAACUGAGUUUGAGCAACUUUAUUUCUUUCCGAACACUCCCAAAAGUGUCGUGAUUCUAGCGACCCAGGUCUUUCGCUAGCCCCUUCAGCUUGUGGCGAAUUUCUUCAACCGUAGUGCAGGGAGUGCUAGCACCCCACCCCAUAGAGAUCACUUUACGAACGAUGUCGUGAGAUUCCCACAUAACCUCAUACUUGAAUGGUCGUUGGACAUGCUCCGCUGUCCCGCCAUCCAUCUCAAGCAGUAAUGGAGCGUGAUCAGAGCUCACCCCCGUCAAAUGCGCCACCGAUGCCAGUGGGUACUUAGCCAGCCAAGCCGUAUCACCGAGGACCCUGUCAAGCCUGCACUUAGUGUAUGAUCCGCCCGUCACCAUCUUCUCAAAAGUCCAGAAGUUGCCUUUGUAUCCCAAGUCAAUUAGUUCACAAACAUCAAGUACCUCUCAAAACGCUUGAAUUUGGACGUUGCUACGCUGCCAAAUCCCUUGGUGUUCUUCAGGCCGAAGCACCUCAUUAAAUUCACCAAUGCAAAGCCAUGGGAGAUCACUCAAAGUACUGCAGUUUUUCAGUGUAGACCAGGUUUUAUGCCUUAAGUGGGUGUGGGUCUCCCCAUAGACGCAGGUCAUUCGCCACUUCUCUAAAUUUUGUUCCUCGAUGGAUGCAUCUAAAUGAUAAUCCGAGUAACCCAAAAUAUCGACCUUUAUUGAAUUAUUCCAAAACAAAACCGAUACCACCACUUCUACCUUGACUGCUAACAGCAUAAGAAUUAUCAAAACCUAUCGUUCCUGCAAGAGACUCCACCUUUUUACUAUCAAGUUAUGUUUCAACAAUGCAAAAAAGGGUAGGGGCAUAAUGUCGGUGUUUUGGGAACCAGGGUACCCAGACCUGCCUGCAUGCAGGCCAGGGCUGGCCCACUUCGUCUACCAAGCGUGGCGCCUCAAGACAAGGCCCUCGCAAGGGCCCGAGCCUCGCGAGGAGGAGCAACACCAAGACCAACAGUGGGGUGAUACGUCCCAAAUGUAUCUAUAAUUUCUGCUUGUUCCAUGAUCUUUUGGGUGACAUUGUUAUAUGUUUUGCUAUACUUCUAUAUCAUUUUACACAUAUUUGGACUAACCUACUAACUCAGUACAUUCAGUAUCAGUUUUUGUGUGUUGAUGUCUAUUUUGCAGGGGCUUUUACCCAAUUUUUCGAAGCCCGAAAAAUUUCAGAAAAAAUAUAUAAAUAAUCAGUGAAACGGAAGCUUCCGGAUCACCGAAGAUGGGCCAGAGGGGGGUCAAAGGCCUCCCAGGCGACCUGCUCGCGCGGCCAGGCCCUAGACCACGCCAUGAGGCCGUCUGGGUGGGUCUCACCUCCUCUGGUGCCCUCCUUUGACCUAUAUUUAGAGUCCCGAGAGGAAACCCUUAUAGACUUUCUGAAAUCGCGAAUUCUUCAUCGUUCCGUCAUCGCAGCGCUUCCGAUAUCGGGAGCGUCAUGAUACCUCUUCCCGGCACCCUGCCGGAGGAAGGAUUCACCUCCGGGAGCUUCUCCACCGUCAUGGACGCUUUUCAGACGUGACGUGAGUAGUCCUUCUUGGAUCAUGAGUCCAUGACCAGUAGAUAUGUGAUGUCUUCUCUCUAAUCUUGUGCUUCAUUGGUUAGUCCUUGUGAGCUGUCCUACAUGAUCAAGACAUCUAUGUAAUUCUCUUGCUAUUGUUAUGCUCCGUUUGUUAGGAUCCGAUGAUUAUGAGAUUAUGUUCAGAUUGUUAUGAUUUAUAUAUUUGAUUAUCUUUUUAUAUUAUGUUCCUUAGUGAUUCAUGCAUGUUCUCCGUUGCUAUUUAUUGCUUUGGCCGAGUAGUAGAUUGUAACUCCAAGAGGGAGCGUUAUGCAUGAUUGUGGGUUCAUGCCCCUCGAUGUCUAGCUUGAGCUUGAGUGACAGAAACAUGAGACUAAGGGAUGUGCUUGUUGCCAUUAGGGAGAAAACAACGGUGCUUGUGACCAUGGUUGCAAGGAUUGUUUAUCUUACGCAUAGUUCGCUAAAGCAAUUGUUCGUUGCUUUGAGUUUACACUUUAGGUGGGGCUCGCAACUUAAUACUGGAGAGAUAUUCUGGAUAGAUAUCUCAAGGUAGAUGAUUAGUAAGUAGAUAAUGAUGAAUAAACGGUCUACUUGUCUUGGCGUAUUGUCCAUUACUAUUGAACUUCUAACUAUCAAGUAGCAUAAUUAGCAUUGCGGUGUGAUCAUAAUUCUAUCAAUUGCCCAACUGUGAUUUGUUUAUCCUAGCAUAGUUGUUUAUCGUCUUUUGGGAGACAGACAUCACUAGUGAACAUCAUGUAACUCCGGUCCAUAUCACCAUCAUUGUUUACACCUCCAUCAUUUAUCGCUUUCAUUUACUUUUUCAUUGCAAUCACUAUUACUUUUCCCCUUGGGUUUUGAUCCUCUGCAAACUACAAGGCCGGAGAGAUUGACAACCUCUUUGUACUCGUUGGGAGUAAAGUUAUUUGUUGUGUGUGCAGGUCCACGUCUUCUGCUAGCGUCCGGGUGGAAGACACCUACUUGUUGAGCCUAGGAGUACUCUUGGUUCGAUAAACCUUACAGUCUACGUGUAAGGAAAAUCUGCUGCUAACUACAUCUGCACCUUCCACUUGGG